CCCCAAUCUUUCUCUCCUUCCCGAUCCUUUCCCUUGUGGCGCCGUCAUGGAGGCCCCCCCUCGCCGGCCGCCUCCCGCCCGCUCCGACAAGCCGCGCCCUUCCUCCUCGCCCACGCGCCUCCCCCCUUCCCUUCUUGCUCGCCGCCGCCCAGGUGGGUUCACCGGCGAGGUCCGUGUGCCGCUGGAGUGGCGUGGCCGUCGCUGCUGGCCUCCUCUGCCUCUGCAAGAGCUCUCUCUUCUCUCAAGUCCGCGCGCCGCCUGAGCGGUGUGGCCAUCCCUACCGAGGCCUCGUUGUUGCACGAGAACCAGCUGGCCCGCCCCAUUUCCCUCAUUUGUGAAUCCUCGUGUGCUCGCUGCUAGUACUUGAUACUGCAGAAAACUUGUGAUUGUAUUUAAAUUGGCAAGAUUUCAUUCAAUGAAGCAAGGUGGUACUAUUCUAGGAUUUGAUUA